UACGGAGGGUGCAAGCGUUAUCCGGAUUCACUGGGUUUAAAGCGCGCGUAGGCGGCCCGGCAAGUCCGCUGUGAAAGUCAAAGGCUCAACCUUUGAAUGUCAGCGGAUACUGCCGGGCUAGAGUCCGGAAGAGGCGAGUGGAACUCCUGGUGUAGCGGUGGAAUGCGCAGAUAUCAGGAAGAACACCAACGGCGAAGGCAGCUCGCUGGGACGGAACUGACGCUAAGGCGCGAAAGCGUGGGGAGCGAACAGG
rnacentral:rRNA from 1 species